GAUGAAGAACGCAGCGAAAUGCGAUAAGUAGUGUGAAUUGCAGAAUUCAGUGAAUCAUCGAAUCUUUGAACGCACAUUGCGCCCCUUGGUAUUCCAUGGGGCAUGCCUGUUCGAGCGUCAUUUGUACCUUCAAGCUUCGCUUGGUGUUGGGUGUUUGUCUCGCCUUUGCGUGUAGACUCGCCUUAAAAUAAUUGGCAGCCGGCGUAUUGAUUUCGGAGCGCAGUACAUCUCGCGCUUUGCACUCAUAACGACAGCGUCCAAAAGUACAUUUUACACUCUUGACCUCGGAUCAGGUAGGGAUACCCGCUGAACUUAAGCAUAUCAAUAAGCGGAGGA
rnacentral:misc_RNA from 1 species